UACAGAGGGUUCAAGCGUUAAUCGGAAUCACUGGGCUUAAAGGGUGCGCAGGCGGACUUGUAAGUGUCUUGUGAAAUCCCAGAGCUCAACUCUGGAAUUGCUUGGCAAACUACAAGUCUUGAGCCCGGCAGGGGCCGUCGGAACUCUAGGUGGAGCGGUGAAAUGCGUAGAUAUCUAGAGGAACGCCAAAGGUGAAGACAGACGGCUGGGCCGGUGCUGACGCUCAGGCACGAAAGCAUGGGUAGCGAACGGG
rnacentral:misc_RNA from 1 species